UACGGAGGGUGCAAGCGUUAUCCGGAUUCACUGGGUUUAAAGGGUGUGUAGGCGGGCAAUUAAGCCAGUGGUGAAAUCUCCAGGCUCAACCUGGAAACUGCCAUUGAUACCAUUUGUCUUGAAUACUGUUGAGGUAGGCGGAAUAUGUCAUGUAGCGGUGAGAUGCAUAGAUAUGACAUAGAACACCAAUUGCGAAGGCAGCUUACUAAGCAGUGAUUGACGCUGAGGCACGAAAGCGUGGGGAUCAAACAGG
rnacentral:rRNA from 1 species